UAUAAUAAUAAGAAGAAGAAGGCAGAAAUGAAUUGAAAAUAAAGGAAGUAGUUAAAAUAUUAUCCAAUCUCACCAUUUAUUUAUUAUAAAAUAUUAGAUAGAUACAUAAUUAAUUAAGAGAUGGAUGAGGUUAUAAUGCCUCUUCAAAUGAUGUGGCAGUUUUAGAGUUGUUCAAAAAAUUAGAUAUGUGGGAAACUAAUUUGAUAGAAGAUAAGCAUCUCCAUGUGAGAUGUAUGACUCAUAUACUUAAUCUAAUUAUGCAAGAUGGUUUGAAAGAAAUUAGUCCUUCUAUCAAAGGGUGAGACAAAUGGUGAAAUAUGUUAGAUCAUCUUCUUCAAGGAUAAGAAAUUUCUUGAAAUGUGUUGAAAUACAAAAGAUAGAAUGUGAUAAGAUGUUGUCUUUAGAUGUGCCUACUAGGUGGAAUUCCACCUAUUUGAUGUUAGACACAACAGAAAAGUGUGAGAAGGCUUUUAGAGGUUUGAUCUUUAUGAUGGUAGUUUUAAUUCUUUUCUUGCUACUAAUGUUUGUGAAGAUGGAAGUAUCGCAGGGUCAAAAUAAUAUGAAGAUUGGGCUAAUGUGAGGAAUGUCACAAAGUUUCUUGAAAAAUUUUAUGAACUCACUUUGAAAGUUUCAGGUUCACGAUAUGUUACUUGUAAUGUUCAUUUUGAAGAUAUAUGUGAACUUGAUGCUUAUUUGAAAUUAUGUAUAGCAAGUGAUGACCUUGAUUUGAGUAAAAUGACUUUGGAAAUGAAAGAAAAAUUCAAGAAAUAUUGGGGUACUCCUGAAAGAAUGAACAAAAUAAUUUUUAUUGCUUAUGUUUUGAAUUCUCACAAUAAAUUUGUGUAUGUUAGUUUUGCUCUUGAAGAAUUAUUUGGGAAACAGGAAAUGUAGUGAAUACGAAAGUAGAGUCUUACUUGAGGGAUUUGUUUGCGAUAUAUGUAAGUAAGUAUGGAAAAGGUUCCAAAAGUCAACCAUCUUCAUCUGACUCAUCUGAUUCUUCUGCUUGUGGUAUUUCACAGAAUGUGUCCAAAAAUUCUUUGAGAACUAAGUUGCACAUGAAAAAACAAAAUAAUGAUUCUGGAAGUUUAGGUGUUAAAUCCGAGUUGGAUAAAUAUCUUCUUGAAGUCCAAGAACCUGAAUCUGAGAUUUUGAUAUUUUGAGUUGGUGGAAAGUUAAUUCUCCUAGAUUUUCUGUACUUUUACAGUUGGCUCGAGAUGUAUUGGUUAUUCCUAUAUCGAGUGUGGCAUCGGAGUGUGCAUUUAGCACUGGUGGUCGAAUUCUAGAUCCCUUUAGAAGUUCAUUGACUCUCAAAUGUGUGCAAUGUCUUAUUUGUGUCCAAGAUUGGCUUAGACAAGAAACCAAGCCUAUUUGUGUUGAAGAAAGUUUGGAGUUUCUUGAAAAAAUUGAACUUGAGAUGACAAAUAGUGGAAGAAACUCUUCCAUUGUUGAUCUAUGAUUGACUUGCAAGCGUUCCAAGGGUCAAGGCAAUGAAGAAAUAAUUUUGUUGACAUGGAAGAAAGUCAAGAAACUCAUUAUUGUUGUUUGUUAUUGUUGACAUUUGAAUUGAAAGUAAUCUCAUGGAAGAAGAUAAGAAGUUUAAAAUACAUUGUUUGUUGCUUAUUAUUGUUUUAUUAUGAGCUCAUGAAAGACUUUAAUGUUACUUGUUAGAUUGUUAUUAUGUUGUAUUUGUGAAGACAUUAACUACAAAUCUACAAUGCAAGUUUUGUUUUAGUGUCAUUGUUAAUUAAAAACAGUGUGUUUUAGUGAUAUUGUGAAUUUAAAAUUUGUGGUGUUAAUGCCUAAUGACAUAUUGACAUAUUGAUAUUUGGUAGUAAAUUAGUAAUGCACUUUUUUGAUGUAUUGUCUAUUUUUACUUUUUAGUCCAUUAAAUUGAAAAAUCAAACUAAUUAAAUUUUAGCUUACAACCCUGAAAUACUACUACUAAUAAUGAUAGUAAUAAUAAUAAUAAAACACUACUACGACAAGAAUCAUCAACCACAUACAUAAU